rnacentral:sRNA from 1 species
GGGCCAAGUUCCUUGGAACAGGACGCCCGAGAGGGUGAGAGCCCCGUACGUCCGGGAUCCACCGCCGUAUAAAGCUCCUUCGACGAGUCGAGUUGUUUGGGAAUGCAGCUCUAAGCGGGAGGUAUAUUUCUUCUAAAGCUAAAUACUGGCCAGAGACCGAUAGCGCACAAGUAGAGUGAUCGAAAGAUGAAAAGCACUUUGGAAAGAGAGUUAAAAAGCACGUGAAAUUGUUGAAAGGGAAGCUCUUGCCGUCAGACUUGCCGCGGUUGGUCAGCCUUCCUUCGGGGUGGUGUAAUCAUCCGCGGCGGGCCAGCAUCGGCUCCAGCGGCCGGACAAAGGUCUAGGGAAUGUAGCCCCCCUCGGGGGGUGUUAUAGCCCCAGACGUGAUGCGGCCAGGUGGGGUCGAGGACAGCGUUUUUUGCUAGGAUGCUGGCGUAAUGGCGGCAAGCGACCCGUCUU